GGCGGGUUCCGUGAGAGGAAGGCGGGGAGGAGUCCGGAGGGGCGGCGGCCUCAAGGCAGCCGGGCUUCUGGGAGCUGCUGGAGGGCGAGCGCCGGGAAGGACGGUGGGCUGCUUCUUCUUCUUCUGCCGGCUGGCUUCGCUUCAGCUUCGCACGGCUCGCCGGCCGCGGCUGUUACCGGGCGGAGAUAGUCGCGUCCCUUUCUCGGCAACUUUGAGGCUGGAUUACAGCCGCACGUUCAGUUUGGGCUGCCCUUGCUGCAGAAAUUCCAGUUCCAGGAAGUUGGAAGCUAAGGCUGGUGCCCCCUAAUCAAUAAUUCUGUUGCUAAGGCUGGUGCCCCCUAAUCAAUCAUUCCAUUGCUAAGGCUGAUGCCCCCUAAUCAAUAAUUCUGUUGCUAAGGCUGAUGCCCCCUAAUCAAUAAUUCUGUUGCUAAGGCUGGUGCCCCCCUAAUCAAUAAUUCUAUUGCUAAGGCUGUUGCCCCCUAAUCAAUAAUUCUGUUGCUAAGGCUGAUGCCCCACAAUCCAUAAUUCUGUUGCUAAGGCUGAUGCCCCCUAAUCAAUAAUUCUGUUGCUAAGGCUGAUGCCCCCUAAUCAAUAAUUCUGUUGCUAAGGCUGGUGCCCCCUAAUCAAUAAUUCUGUUGCUAAGGCUGUUGCCCCCUAAUCAAUAAUUCUAUUGCUAAGGCUGUUGCCCCCUAAUCCAUCAUUCUAUUGCUAAGGCUGAUGCCCCCUAAUCCAUAAUUCUAUUGCUAAGGCUGGUGCCCCCUAAUCCAGAAUUCUGUUGCUAAGGCUGGUGCCCCCUAAUCAAUAAUUCUGUUGCUAAGGCUGUUGCCCCCCAAUCAAUAAUUCUGUUGCAAAGGCUGGUGCCCCCCAAUCAAUAAUUCUGUUGCAAAGGCUGUUGCCCCACAAUCCAUGAUUCUGUUGCUAAGGCUGGUGCCCCCAAUCCAGAAUUCUGUUGCCCCCUAAUCAAUAAUUCUGUUGCUAAGGCUGAUGCCCCUCAAUCAAUAAUUCUAUUGCUAAGGCUGAUGCCCCACAAUCCAGAAUUCUGUUGCUAAGGCUGAUGCCCCACAAUCCAGAAUUCUGUUGCUAAGGCUGAUGCCCCCCAAUCAAUAAUUCUGUUGCUAAGACUGGUGCCCCCCAAUCAAUAAUUCUGUUGCUAAGGCUGAUGCCCCACAAUCCAGAAUGAUGCAGGCCUUCCAAGCAUCCCUAUUUAACAGGUGCAGUCCCAGAUUUGCAGAAUCCAUCCCGGUUUCUGAUUUGAUCCCGGAAUGCCCCGCUUUUCCUUAGGACGUCCCUAUUUUCAUCAGAGGACGUUUGGAGGGUAUGGUAGGAUGUCCCUAUUUUCAUUGGAGAAAUGUUGGAGGGAACAUCUGUAUUCAUCAAGGAAAUGUUGGAGGGUAUAAACCAGGUUGCGCAAUGUCAUAAAUCGUGCUUGCUCUCAACUUACUCUCCAUUGCUGCUCCCACACUUUCCCUCAGUCCUUCAGGCCCAAAUCCCAAUGGGGAGAAUGGGGUGCCUGGACCAGCAAUGAAACCUCACGUUGUACUGGCCCUAUAUUGCCUUAUUGCAUCGCUAGAGAAAUCCUCUUGUGUUGACUCAUGCUUGUUUGCAGGAUAGUUAAACCAGACUUUCUUGUCCUUGAUGUUCUCCAUUGUGUUAAGACUGUGGCUCCCAUGCCAGCUGGGGAUGAUGGAAGUUGUUCUCCAACAUUUCUGGAGAGCAUCAACAUUGAGAAAGUAUUCACUAAACAGUGGGAGAUGGUGUUUCCUCUGAUGCAGUGGGGACUGCUAAUGACUUGGGAUGUGGGGGUUGUAGAAACCAGAGGCCUUUCUUCUUGGAAUAACAGGUUUGGAAUUGCCCAAGAAAGAUGUUAAAUUAUUUUUGUAUGCCACAACUGCUGCUCGUAUUUUGUUAGCUGAAAAGUGGAAAACCCAAGAAUUACCAACAAUAGAAGAAUGGCAGAUGAAGAUGAUGGAUUUUUCGGAGCUAGCCAACCUAACUGGAAGAGUCUGUGACCAGAAGGAGGAGUAUCAUCAGGAAGAGUGGAAUAAAUUUAAUGAUUAUUUAGUUAAAUUUGCUGAGUUAAACUAACUGAAAACAGCUUGCAGAUACUUAAUGGGUUUAGGAUUUUAUUUAUGUUAAGUGAUGAAUUAAUAUGUUUAAUUCCAUAAGGUGAAGAUCUAAGGAUGUUAAUGUUUAAGUUAAAUUUCAUAAAAAUUGGGAUUUGGAAAACCGCUAAAAGGACAUGCAAUGAAAUUCAACCAAGGGGAAGUGAGGAAGUCACUUAACAAAGUUAAUAAUUGUAAUUUUCAAUAAGGCUAUGAUUUUUGUUUGUUUUGUCUUGUGUGUGUGUUUGUUUGUUUGUUUGUUUGUUUAUAAUAUUGUGAAAACUAAUAAAAAAAAUUUGAGUGGGAUGUGGGGGUUGUAGACAUGAUUCCUAGCCCAUUGUGAUCGAUGAUGGUUCCAGUAUUGAAAAACAUCAAAGCAAGUUUCGAAAAUAAUAAUCCUGUUGCACAGAUUUUGAAAAGGCACCCUGUGCUCCUUUAGGAGGAAGGGUGGAAUAUAGAUUUAAAUAAACUUAAAGGGUACAUCUCAGCAGUGUACGGUGAGGAGCAUAUCUAUUUUGAGCAGGAAGGGGCUGCUAAAUUAUUUGUAUUUCGGCGCGUAUCAAAGACCAGUGCUGCUUCCCCUUUAAACGAUGCUCACCUGGAUUUCAGUGGAAUAUAAAGCAGAGUUCACAAAUCUUCACCCACUUUUUUCCCCACUGCAAAUUGGCACUGAGUGGACACAAUCUGAAGCAAAGAAGAGCAAUCUUGAAUCGUCUAUUCAUUGCUUCUUUUCAACUACAACACUAUGCCACCCAGCCUGUUUUAUCCCCAACAAGCAUCUCAGGUUCCAAAGUAACCACAGAUGUCUUGCAGCAUACCUGCUGGGGGAAAUUUCAACAUGUCAGUAAAUGAGUAUUGUCUCCUUAAUCAUGCUGCAAUUCCAAACUCAUAAGAAGAAACUUGAACUUUUAAGUUAUUCAGUCUUACUCUGGUGACAAACAAAAACCUUCCCUUUGCUGCACCAGUAUAAAAGAUGGCGAAUGGCUCCUGUCUCCCAGUUUCACCUACCCCAAAUGCAUGCAGUGGAACUGAAUAGCACCAACUAUUCUAAGAAAUAGCUGCUAUGAUACACUAAGAUACAUGUUUUAUACUUACAUGGCACUGAGGUUAACAGCAGACCUUUAACUUGCAGUUUCUCCUUAUGUUCUUGGUGCAUGAUUAAUCUAAAAUUCCUGACCCUUCAGGGCAAGGAACACAAUGUGCCUUCACUAAAAUGCUUUAAUUCUUUAAAAAAUAGCAAAAACUUCUGAAGGCAGAGUUAGGUAGCCCAUAGAUCAUAGCUGUCAACGUUUCCCUUUUUUAAAGGGAAAUUCCCUUAUUCCGAAUAGGAUUCCUCGCAAGAAAAGGGAAAAGUUGACAGCUAUGCCAUAGGCAGCCCACCAGAUAUUUUUAGACAUCAGGGAUAAUGAGAGCUCUAAUCCAGGAACAACUGGAGGGCAAUAGGUUCCCUCACCUCAAAGUACUUUGUACAUGGUCUUGCAAGCUUAUGACAGAAAUAAUGGUGAUUAAAAAUGGCCUAUAAUCUUCACAGGUUUGUUCAAAAGCCCUGUUAAGUCAUCCAGUAGUCCUUCACUCAGAGGGGUGUGUCUGCAAAGCUGGGUGUUUUAAAAACAAGAAUGUAGCCAACUGUUAUCUCUCGAUUUGCGAUUUGUUAUAACAGAUAAAUCUCAAGAGAUGCAGAGCAAUUGAGCGAAGCCAGGCUGCAAGAUAAGUGAAAUUGUGGAAUUUCGCCCCCUUUCACAGGCAGAUGUACCUGGAGCAGUCCCCCUUCUCAUUCUGUAAAAUAUUACAUUGCUACAGUCCGUUCCCUCCAGCAGCAAAUGUUGUUUCCCCCGUGGGGAAACAAUGUUUAUCAGAGAUGCUUCACUGCCAGAGAAACACCAGUUGAGCUACUUGUUUUUAAUUAACAGGUUUAAAAUGGGAAAUUUAAAAUCUUGAAACUUGAAAAGUGUUGAAAUAAUGAAUUUUCACCAAAACAGCCAAAUGCAUAGCAUUGCAAUACCCGUGACUUCAACCAUCUGAAUUGCCAAAAAGAAAGAUUUCAGCUAAGUUUUGGGUGACCAGCAUUUGUAAACACAAGACUUGGACCUUUGAAUGCUAUAAAUUUCAAAACUGUUUAACUC